rnacentral:lncRNA from 1 species
UUUUUUUUAAAUAAAGGCUCGUGGGCCGGCUUGGGCUCAGCCCAAACCACGGGCCGCAUAGUUUUUUUGACACCCCUAGAGUAAGGCCCAUGGGCCACCAAGCCUUUUUGACACCCCUAGAGUAAGAUCUAUCAAUCUAUUUUCUAUUUUAUAUAUAUUAAGCAUAAACAAUGAGUAUAACAGCUUUGUGUGCAAUAUAUUGUGGGACAGUUUUGUUACAAAACUAGAAAAUGAGGUACAUUAACUCAUAAUAGAAAUGCAUAGUAAUGGUAUUAUUUUACUUGCUUCAAGGUGAGUUCUACAAUAACAUCCUCUUAGUUAGCUAGAUAGAUAUCGUUGAGAUAUGUGAGUCCUAAACUAUUUAAUAAAGCCUUGCUUUCUUUUGUCAAUGCUUUAGAUGAGGUUGAAUGAAUAUCAAAAUUUUAUACCUUUUUAUUUAAAUUUAUUAAGUUACUCUUAUUUAUUGUAAGGCUAAUAUUUUGUGAAAGUGUUUAGAAGAAUUUGUAGAAUGGAAAAUUUUCAAAGAAGUUCUACACACCGGAUAUCUUUGAAAUAUGUGGAUGUUUAAUAAAUAUACGUAUCAUAUUUUAUUAUUCUUAGUUGAAUAAUUGACUUUUGAAAAAUAUAGAAAAUAAAUCGUAGACCCUCGGACAAAUACAAAAGCUAAGUGAAUACAUUCGUCCGAACAUGUUAUUAGAAGUCCAUUUCUAAAUUUCACAUUUUCAUUAUAAUUAAAUGUGUGUUAUUGAUAUUUUGGAUAUGGUUAAAAGAUUUUGUAGAUAUGUAGUUUGCGGGCAAAAGAGCUUUGCAAAUAGAUGGUACCAAUUUAUUGUCCUAGAGGGACGUGAAUAAAUAUAGUCCAAGAAGUACAUCUAAAUCAUUGAGUGGGAUGGGCUUAAACUCACAAGGGAGUCAUCUUCGGAAGUAACCUAACUUCUGUGAUUGAUGGUCCCACGAAGAAGAUUCAAUGUGGUUGAAACAACUUGCACUACAUGACUUGUAAUAACACUACAUUAUUUGUGUUCAUCCCUAUACUAAUAUAUUGCUAAUAAUAAUGUGAUGUUAUGAAGGAUUUAACACUGAAUGAGCACCAAAACGAGAAUUCUCGUGGGAUGUGUGUUAUAUACACCCUUGGAUGACUCACUUUUGUAAGGGUUGUCAUGAGACAAUGGCUAUAGAAUUUGGCUAUUCCUUAAAGACUCUUACUAGAAUUAAGAUUAGAGCGCAUGAUUGUUAAUAGCGCUACCCUUUGUGAACUGGGCCAAAAUCGAUAUUAUGUGUGGAACAAUUGAAGUUUGCCCAAAGGGAUCUAAUUCAAAAGCUCAGUUUAUUAUAGCUCCCUCAAAUGAAAAUUGUUAUCACUAAGUGAGAUUUAAGUCCAAAAAGACCUGCACCCAUUACAUAGUAUAACGUUACCACUAUAUAAUAUAAGACCAUGCUACAUAUACCAAAUUUUUUUAUAUAAUCCUUUAUCGACUACUCACAAUAGGAGGUGGGGACCAUAUUUUGAAAUUUUUUUAUUCACGCGAAUCCUGUGUGCAUGUGAGAGAAGAUAAACAAUUCGGUACACCUUUGGAUGUACAAAUAGAAUUAUUCUAUAAUACAUAUUUAUUUAUUUUAAAAUUUAUGGGGAUUGUUGUAAUAGAAAUGUUAAUAAGUUUUAAAUUUCAAGAUUAAAGGUAAUUUUAAAUUUCAGUUUUCUAUUUUAAUUUACAUUCUAAAACAAAAUUAAAACUCAUAUUUAAUGGAUUAUAACAUAUGCAUAAAUUGGAUUUAUUUUCAUUAAUAUGGGGGUUAUAUUUAUCCCUAUAAAAGGAGUAGUGAUUUCAUUGUUUGAUGAAACAUAAAAACCACAACUUGAGGUACAACCAGAAAACAAAAUACUCUCUAUAUUUCAUAUUAUAUUUCUAUAUUUUUGGCAACCCAAUAAAGAUUCAUUCUUUAUCUCCAAGUAGUCGUAUCCAUAGAAAGAAAAUCAGUGUUGAGCCAUAUGGGUCCGAAAGUACCCGCACAAAGAGAAUGCAACACAAUUUUAGAAUAGCGUCUUUGACUUGACUCCCUAAAACUUGUAUUUUUAACUUUUCUAUUUUUAUGUUUAUAUUAUUAUUAAAUUUUGUUUAUGUUAUAUAAUUCAUUAUACUAAUUAACAAAUAUUUUCACACAACUCACCAAAUUUUCCCAACAAAAGUUACUUAUAAGAAAUUUUUACAUUAAAAAAAUUAAAUUAUAAGUAAUUUUUACUUUUUUAUUUCAAUGCAACCCACUUUUUUCCUAUUAUUCAUCACAUCUAUUGUGAAGAUGCAUAAUCCCAAGUAAACCCAUCUCUAUCUCUUGGAUUAUUUUAAUCAGGUGCCAUUGAGGAAGAAUAAGCACGCCCAACUAAUUAAUCAAAGGUCGAAUGAAUCUUUGUCCCAUCUAAUACGGUAUACGUCAAAUAUAUAAAUAAGUAUAAUAGUCUGAUUCAUUAUAUGUUUUUCUAUACUAUGCAUAUAUAAGCAAUAUUGCGUGUUAAUUUAGUUAUCCCUAACAAGAGUCAACUUAAUUAGUGACUCAAAUUAAGCUACCAUGUAAUUCAAUCUUACUAGUGCACUUUCCAUAUAUGACUAAAACCCUCGAGACAUGUCUCCCACCGAGUCAAUUUUCUAUUAAACGUUAAAAUUAAGGGUCAAAUGUGGGAGAAGACUGGAACAUUUAUUCAUCAUUCAUUCUUAUAAAAACAAAGACCAUUCUCUCAAGGACCUCAACAAAGAAGCUGAUUUUUUUUUACCAAAGUAACACUCGACAAGACAAAAUCUCUCAUAUGUUACAUACUAACUUAUUAUGAUGUUAAGCCCAAACUCAAUCACCAGGUAGAAAUGGUUACCACCCCAUAUGUAAAUAGGCCAUUCCUACUAACUGAUUUCUUUCUUUAGCAAUAGGGGAAAAAAUACAAACAAUAAUUUAAAAAAAUAAAAAAUAAAAACAAUAUCCUUGAAGUUUUUGUUAAAGUGAUGAUCAAAUUUUGACAUCAACAAAUAAUUUCCGAGUGCAAUUACUCAUUCAAUAAUUAUAUAACAUGAAAAAUCCACUAAAAGGCAUGCAUUGAUUGAUACUUGAAUGUCUUGGAAUCAAUCUUAUUAUUGAGUGACUAUAUUGCUCUUGUUGCCAUAUAGAGAAGAUUAGCAGUAUAUAGAAGAUUUUCCCUAGCUAAUCUUUAUGUCAUACAUAGAAGAUUUGUUGUAUAUAGAAGAUUUUCUCUUGUAGUCAUACCUCGUACAACACAAUAAGUUUAUAAUAUAAUUCCAUUGGAUGUUGCUAUCAAAUUAUUGAGAAUAAUGAAAAUAUCAUCUUUACAUGGUUUAAGAGGCACACAGAUCCUAGCAUGGUUGAUGGUUCUCCAGCCGAUACUUUUGUUGCCAUUCUCAAAUCCAUUAAUGAUAUCUCUUCUCCAUAUAUAGAAGAUUUGUCGUAUAUAGAAGAUUUUCCUUUGUUGAUCUUGUUGAUAUAUAGAGAUUAUUUUUUCUUGUUGUAUUACCUUGUACAAUACAUUAAAUUUAUCUAUACAACUCCAUCAUAUGUUGAUACCACAUUAUUGAGAAUAUGAGAAUAUCUUCUUAACACUUGUUGCUUUCAAAUAAGCAUGUUUAGCUUGUAAGUCAAUGCCUGGUAGCCUAAUAUGUAUGUUGACAAUCUUAUUAAAAGAAUAAUGUUUAGGUAAUACAAAUUAAUAUAAAAGUAGAAACUGAAUAUUUAUUUAACAUGCUGGUCUGUGGACUACACUGAAAACAUGUUUGGGAAGUAUUUUUGUAAAGGUUUGAAUAUUUAUAAGCACAAGUCAAGACUAAUAUAUAUUAAUUGAACAAGAAAAUGAAACUAAACUAUUCUCUAUUGUAAGUAGAGUCUAAUACUUUCUUGUUUCCCUGAUAUUGAAGUUUGGAAUAAACGCUUAACUCUAUAUUUAAAAAAAAAAAUGUGAAGCCACCCCCUAAUUUCUCUUUCUAGACUAGACUAGACUAAGUUGAAUUAUCCAGGCCCGGGGAAUGUUCCUUUUUGACCCCAGAUUAUAUUCUUUACUGACCAACAAUUAAUACAGAAUAUGACAGGGGUUGGAUUGGGUUGGGGUCGUAGUGUGGUACUGGUCCAUAUUGCAUGAGAUUCUCUAGGCAUCAUGGUACCAAACCUAAUCUAUGUUCAGUCCCCUAAAUCUUAUGCAGAUGAACCUAAACACAUCUGGUUCAGUUUUUUCUACACCUACACAGGGAGGCUAUGGACAACAUUACCUAGACUUGACCUACAUCUAUGUUAAUCAAUGCAACCCAAAGGAAAAUGCCAAAUAUUAGAGUCUUGAAAUGAUACUAUGAAAUGUUAUAACCACAUGUUUAGUUCAGUUUAUAAAGCGAGUUAAAAUUUAAGACAAAGUCAAAAUAAAUUUUAACCACACAUUUCUUAAAAUCAAUACUUUUCAACUAUAUAUUUCAUUCACAGAUCUACUCAAACCAAAUAUGGGAAGUAUCAUAAGCUAGCCUUGAUCUGAUAGAAACCACAUGGGAAAAUUGGAAACAUUUCCAAGAAGGUGAAAAGUUAUAAUAAUUUACAUAUAAAUGUAUGUUGUAUACAAAACACAGUAAAAUAUUAGCGUAGGGGUGGGGUAGGGGUAGGGUGGGGUGAAGAGCAGUUAUUUACCUGGUAUGGUGCAGGAGGAUUGGGAAUAUGGCACACUGAGAAAUGGAAGCCUAAAAAAUUGGAUUCAUACAUACGAUUUGUAAAUAUGCUUGGCUCCUCAUACGCCAUCCACGGAGGCCAUCGAUAUUCCGGUGGGCUCAGCAAAUGGCAUACAGGGAGCCAGGCAUGUACAGAUAUAUAUGUAUGUAUCUGUAUUCCAGACAUAAUGUUACACACACCAUAUGUACAUCUACAUCCUCAUAUUGCAUCUUUUGUAUGAGAAUAUGCUUAUGAAUGCCAAUAUUCAUACCCUAAUAUUACUCCAAUAAAUCACAAUCCUAACAAAUCAAGAUUUAACCUUGAAGCCUACCCCACCUACCCCUCCCCCCAUAUAAUUAUAUCUACAUGCUCAAAAAACCUAACAUAUCAAGAAUGAAAAUUAGAAAGUCAUCAACUCAAGGCAGAACCAGAAAUAUACACACUGCAUAUAUAUGUGUAUGUGUGUGUGUGUGUGUGUGUGUGUGUGUGUGUGUAUAGAGAGAGAGAGAGAGAGAGAGAGGUGGAAGUACGUAUUGCCGUAUGGGGAGAUAAAAAGAAUUAAAGAUAGGUAUAUAAAGGCCUCGGAGAGAGAUUUGGAGGAUCAAACUGGGUCCAAAAAUUAAAGAAAAAAAUUCAAGAAAACCCACGAACUCUUUAUUCCAUUGAUGAAAAAGAAAAAGGAAAAAAAUCACCAUUCUCUAAUGGCGAAAAUUCAUGCAUGACCUAAUAAAACCAGUGGCUUUAAUUUUGCUGUGGGGUUUCCAUGUGAGGAAAAGAAGGAGAGUGUGAGGGUUGGGAACUGAAUUGCCACUAAAUAUAGACAUAGAUAGAUAUAGAGAGAGAAAGAGAAAGUGAAUACAGGGUUGUGUUAGUAACUACGCAAUUUCCCAAGCUUAUGUUCUGAAAUCUCCUUUUCUGGGUCGUAAAGUAGAGAGUCUUGCUUUUCUCUUCUGAACCUCCUUUUGUCUCCAAGUGUUUGGAGGACAUGGAUUCCUCCUCUCUCUACUUACUUUCGAAUUUUUUAAUUUGAAAAUAAGUAGAAAGCAAAAGAGCAUCAUACCGUAUAAUUUUUUUAUUUUUUUAUUUUGCUACUUAUACAUAAAAAUAAUACAUAAACGAUUAUCGAUAAGAUGUGGAGGAAAAAGUUGACUGUCUUUUAAACUAACAAAUAAUAAAAGUGUAUGUGGAUAUUAUGUAAUCCUCCAUAUAAACUUUGAUGUAUACGUAGCAAUGUCCUUAUUUUUUUCCUUUUGCUUCUAGUCCUUCUUCUAGUCCCAGCUAUGAUAAUUGUUCUUGCUUCAAAUCCUCAUUUCCUGUUUGGUAUAGCUUAAAUAGUUUAUUGAAAUCAAAAUCAAAGUUAAUUAUUAAUUUAAUCACCCAUUUUGGACUCACAAUUUUUAUCAACCUUUCAAUCACAUAUAUCAUUAACUUCUAUCAAAAAUUACUAAAAAUCUAAUUUUUAUUUAUAAAUAAAAAAAUAAAUAUGACCUUUGCAUAGGAUACAUGUCGAAAAACACCAGUUUUAGCUAAAAACUAUGGGGCACUUCUAGAUCAGCUUAAAGAAAUUGUAACAAAACAACGAGAUGCCUCCCCCCGAGGUAUAACUCAGUGGUGCAAAGGACAGGAGUGAGAUAGUCUCAACCUUAUUGGCAGUCGCAGUGUGAGAUUUCGAUUCUUGAGAUAUAGAAUUGGACUCUUUGUGGAUAUCAGUGUACGGGCAAGUUCUUAUUCUCUGGCCCGUUGGAGCACAUCCCGCGAUUUACCUCUCUCACGAUACUCCAUGGGCAGGGCGAUGAAGACUUUCAAAGUUGUGGUUCGACCUUUAAAAAUGGGCAGGGCGAUGAAGACUUUCAAAGUUGGGGUUCAACCUUUUUUUGUAACAAAACAACGAUAUUAUUUGCUAGAAUUUUGUACGGGACUACUUGCAUAUUGGUUGGAAAUUUGCUUAGUAGCAAAUUAUUAAAAUGUUAAUCAGACAGGCCCUUUCAUUGGGACAAAAUCAAAAUUUGUUGUCCCAGUCUUGUCAAUUCCAACCUAGUAAUGCUUUCCACCGUCUUGUUUGGAUGGAUUUUAUUGGGUAGAGAGUUCAGCGACUAUGGCUCAUCAUAACAUCUAGGUCGUAGCUUGAAAUCCCGAUCAUCAUCAUGGUUGCUUUUCUUUGAUCUGUGGCAAUAUGCGGCGCGACGUCAUGGAGGAUACCUCUUUGUUUGAAUGGUUACAAAAAUGUUGAUGGUGUCAUAGGUGGACAUCCUUUCAAUUUGAUCGUGAUAAUGUUUCAUAUGAAUCUCAACUUGCUAAGAUGGCUUCUAUUGAUCGAUGACCACCAACAUUGACAUGUUUUAACUUAGCAAAUAAGCUACUUUGAUUGCUUUGAAGUGAAUCCCCAAAUCAUCAAAUGUGACGUUUUUCGUUCAAACAUCAAAAAAAAGUGAUAACAACUGAUGCCUCUUCAAUAACUUGCACUUUUUAUAUAAGAUCCGGGGUUAGUAUGUACCUUUAUUUGUCAAAUAGUUAAUUAGAAGAAAUAAAAAUCAAACCCACAAUUAAUUAAGAGGAAGAUACACAACCUAACUUGUAGAUUCACCAAUAGAUACAAAAAAAUAUCACCUAGUGUACACGAAUGGAGGAGUAAGGUUUCAUUAUCAUAUGGUUGAUAGCUCGGCAUAUUGGUUCUUCAUAAAAGUCGUCAUGAUUGUCUAGGUCUGAACCUACUAGAAGGAGAUUGAAUUCAUCCUCAAAAUCUUUAUGAACCAUGCUAGAGCUACAAUAUGAUUUUUACAUGGUGGCUGACAGUUCCCUCACAACAGGCACAGCCCCCCUCCGCCCCGUUUGUGAGGGGGUGUAAAAUAGCAAUACUCAAAUCUUUAUAGACAACACCUGUCGAAUAGGUGCAAUAUCUCAUGAUAGGAAUAUGGUCACCUAAAUUUUUUUGGAGGAUACAUCUAUAAUUAUCAUAAGCGGAUGGCGACUAAAUUUGAAUUUAAGGUGGUGUUUCGUUAGUAUGUUAAAUUGGCUUAUGUAUAAGUGCCAUUAAAGGAAAUAAAUAAUUAUUAUUUGUUAUAAAAAGAUAUAUAAAAAAAGGAAAAAAAAAAGAAGAGAGGAUAAAAAUCAAUAAAUUUGUGUGAGUUUUAUUAAGAAUUAAAGUCUAUAAAUUAUUUAUAGGGGAGAGUUAGGGAUACAACGAUAAUAAUUUCUAGGGUUGUAAAGUACAAUUGUCAUUCACUAAUAAACUUAUCAUUUACAACACUCCCCUUUAAUGACAUAUUACAAAAUAUCUGUCUCGUUAAAGUCUUGUUCAAUAAAAACUCAAUAAUACAAAAAAAAAAUUAAAUGAAGGAAAAAAUUACAGUUAUUUUGGAGUAUUAAAAAUAAAUGUUGCCUCAUUAAAAUUUUGUUAGGAAAAUCCAGUGAGAUAAAACUUAAACGAAGGAAAAAGAGUACUAUUACUCCUCCCGAUAUUGAUCACUGAGAUUCAUUGAGUCUACGCAUUUCAAUUUUUUGAAUGUAAAUGUGGGCAAUACUUUUUUGAAUAAAUCUGUCACAUUAUCACUGGAGCGAAUUUGUUGGAUAUUAAUAUCGUCAUUCUUUUAAAGUACAUACGUAUAAAAGAAUUUUGGAGAAAAAUGGUUCUUCCUAUCACUUUUGAUAUAGUCUCCUUUGAAUUGUGCAAUAAAACUAAAUUAUCUUUAUACAAUAUUGUUGGACUAUCUUUUGUUGAAGUUAAUAGCAUGAUGUUUGGAUAUGAUGGGUCGUGUUCCUCAGCCAUACACAUUCUUGUUCUGUUUCAUGGAUUGGAAUAAUUUUAAAAUGAUUUAAAACUAUUCUAAUGUCUUUAAAUUGGUGUAAAGCUAUAUCUUACAAGGAAACUUACAGAAAAACUAUAUCGAGUCGAGUACAGUUUGCAAGAUAAGUUAAUGCUCAAAUGCACUAAAUUAUAAUACUUUAGGACCUAGAACAUUUUCUCCAUCUUCAAAUGGAUGAAAUGGAUCUUUGUUCAUAUUAAGUGAUCGAACAGCAAUAGAUAAUGUCAAUGGAUGUGCAUUAUACAUAUAAAACGUUCAAAGAUUUUUUUGUAUAUGUAGAUUGAUGAACAAAUAAUCUUUUUGAGAAGUGUUCAAUUUGCAAUCCAAAACAAAAGUUCGUAUUUUUGUAUUUAUAAUUUUUUAAUAAUAAGAUCUCACUAUUGUAAUUUUAAUUUAUAAUAAACAAAAGUAUAUAGUGCAUAUCUAUAGUUGAUAUCAUAUACAUCGUGAAGGGAAGAUAUAUAAUUUCUUAGGACGUUUUGUUAAAUUUAAAUUUAAGUCCCUGUUUGUUUCCCAUUGUGUACUCAUUAAAAUGAAAAAUAUGACUGUUAUCCAUCACAUCAAGUUAUUAUAUUUGACUUUUUAACUCUUAUGUGCGGUCCGUAACGGCUAUAUCUUUCAUUCUCAUUUUUACAUUAAUGUGUAUUAAACGGUAUCUAAAUAUGAUAAAAUGUCUACAUUCCUAAAGAAGCUAAAAUAAUUUAUAUUAUUAUAAUUAAAACUUUAUUUAUUGUUCCUUUUUAUGUAGUCCAAAGAAGUCACAAAGAUAUUAAUUCUAAGGUUGAGAACUAUGUAGGUACAUAUUUGACUAAAAAUAACGAUAAUUUUCAAAUUGAAUUUGUAUUAUCUCAAAUUAACUAUUAUAUUUGCAUUUUCGUUGACUCGUGCACGUAGGGUAAACUGUUAAAUGUUGAAUGCAGCUUUUUAAAUUAGUAUAUGUCUAAUUUUUUUUAACAGUUUUAACUUUUAAAAAUAAGAUUAUUAAUAUUAAAGCAAAUUUAGCAAAAUAUACAGAACAUUUACAUUUAAAUUUCGGUGCUUCCUAUUAUCAUCGCCCAUAGAAUAAAUAAUCAUCAUUUUUCUCAUGCUGAUUGUUAAGUACUGGAAAAAAAGGAAGGAAAAAAAAAAGUUGUGUUGUACAAAGCAAAUAUCGAGUUAGCUAGCGAUAGAUGAAAAAAGAGUCGUAAAAAACUAGUAACAGAUUUGACGAUAAAAGAUUCAAAUUUUUAAAAUGGGGAACUUUCAAAUAGCGAUCGUCAUAAUUGAUAACUGACUUACAAUGAUAAUAUUUUUAUUAUUUUAAAAUAAUUUGUAACCGGUCACUAAUAUUUUUUAUUUUUUUAACUUUUCAAAUAAGUUAUAACGAUGGAUUAAUAUAUUUAAAAAACACACCAUUUGCUGAAAAUUUUACACUUUGCAUAAUGAGUUUAUAAAUUUACAUUUUACAUACUAUUUUGUAUAAUGGUUACAAAAACACCAUUUGCUGAAAAUUUUACAAAGAGGUCAUUACAAAUAGGUGAACACAUAAGAAUACCAUUAAUUUAAAUAAUAAACCACACCCUAUAUUGUAUUAACUUAUGUAACAUUUUGCUCAUCAUUCCCUAAUCUUUAAUUUAGUUUGUCAAUAACAUAUUAAAACAUAGAAGAUACUCCAUUUAACUCUUCUAAUAUUGUUAAAAAUAUUAAUUUCUAUCUUAUAAUUAAUAAUUUUGCUCAAUGAAUAAAAUAAAAAUCUAUUACAAUAGUUUUCAAUAUAAUUAGUUGUAAUUUUUAGUUUUUUUUUACAAAUUUUAAGUUGGGAUAAUUAGCAGCUUAAUAAAUUAUAAAAAAAUGUAUGUCUAAUUUAUUGGUAUCUAUUGCAAAUGCAUUUUUUUCCCUUUUUGCAAGGAAGCUUCGUAUAAGAGAAGAAUAUAUUAAUAUAGUGAAGAAAAACAUAUAACUUUGUACAAAAAUGAAGAUAGAAAAUAAAACUAUGUACGUGAUGCAAUGAAAAGACUCGAUUGAAUGUUAAUUAAUUAUGGACUGAUAUAAGUAAAAUUAAGCCCAUGUUUGGUUUAAUUAAAAAUUAAUUUUUUAUUAGAUUUUAAUUAAAGUUAGUGAAGUGAUUGAUAAAAGUUGUGAGUACCAUAAAAUGUAGUUAAAAAUGUGUUUGAAGACAAAUGAGUUUUAGAAAAUGGAUAUAAAAUUUUUAAAUGAAAAUGAAACAUUAACUUAACUUUUAGAAAUAAAAUAUAUUUAAAAACUUGGUACGUAAAGUGUUACAUAAUAUAAUAUUUGUGAUUUGUAGAUUUUUAUUAUUAAUAUUUAAUUUGUUCGGUUUAACUAUAUUUAUUGAUGAAUUUGGAAAUCUUUCAACAACAUUUUUUUUUCUUGUUAAUGUAACUAUAUUUUAGUUGCACAAAGAUUUUUUACUCAUUAUAUCCUUUUAGCAAAAGCAUGAACUAAAGUUUUAUGAGAAUUAGCUCUUGUUUGACCCCGUUACAUUUCAUCAAUUUAAAUUAAAUUUUCGAGAGAUGAUACAUGUACAGGAUGUGAUUCGCUAACUCCUACCAGAUUAGACACAAGAAGUGGGGUGGGUAAGAUUUUUUUGACAAUAUUUUAAUUAUAUGGGGCCCACCCCAUGUGUCUCAUCUGAAGGAGUUCUAUGAACUCCUCUUAUAUACAUUUAGCAUUGGUGUAAUUUUUCUCUCUCUUAUUUUUAAUCACAUAAUUUUUAAUAAAAUAAUAUUACAUGUAACACGAAAAUUUUUCAUUCAUUUACAAUCGUCUCUUUUUAAAAAAAAAAAAAAUACUAUUUCUCCAUUAUAAUCAAAAUUAAUUGGGCCAAAUGGGGCUUAAUUUAUAAUAUAACUCAUAAAGCACUAUCAGUAUUUGUCCUUUUCCUAUGCUACAAAUUACAAUAUAUAAACUACACAAGUACGAGUUAAAUAAAAUAAAUUAUUUUGCCGACAUGGAUCCAUCAUGUCUUAUGUACUAAAAUGAUUGGACGUGUACGCUUGUUUGUAUUUUUAUAUAGAAACUUACAUCAUUAGUCCUUUACUUAUUGUUCCAAUAUCACGUUAGUUUUUCAUCAUAUUUUAUAAAGGCUGAAACCCAAUCUUAAGAAUCUUUCAUUGCCUCGUCCCUAAAAUAUUGUGAGAGAGGUUAAUUGCGAGAUGUGUCCCAACAGGUUAGGAAACAAAAGCUCCUUAUACACUGAUGUUCACAAAGAAUCACAAUCCAUAUUUUAGGAGUCGAACCCUCACAAUGCAACUGCCAGAAAAGUUGAGUAUACCUCACCCUUGUUCUAUGUUCAAUGUUUCAUCAUAUUUUAUGAUUGAGAGAGAGAGAGAGAGAACAUUUAAGCUAUGUCAAUGUUUGGUAUGAAUUAAAAUUUAUUUAUUUAUUAAUUUUAACUUUAAUUUUAAUGAAUUUACAGCUAUUAUAUUGAUGUGAUGCGCAACUUUUUAACCAUAUAUUUCAUCAAUUUUUAUCAAAAUUUAAUAAAAUCUAAUUUUAAACACUACCAAACAGAGACUAUAUUAAAAAUAUAAAAAGUUUUAUGAUCUAAACAUUUGGAAGGAACAAGUGUCGGAAUCCUCUUGUUAGUCUUAUACUCGAAUAUGUAUGUUUAUUGCACCGGUACAUACGAGUGAACGCGAUUCGGUUAGGACGAUUUGUGCUAUAUUUUCAACUUAAACCAUUUCAUGCGGUUUGAAAUUUUUCUAUACCAAACCAUAAUUUACAAUUUGGUUCGAUUUUAAUAUGCGACUUACCAAUUGAUAUUAUAGUAAUAUAUUUAAAACAAGUUAAUAUAUAAGUUUAAGCGAUAAUUAAUAAUGUUAAAUUACAUUCAUAUUUAACAUGAAACUUGUGAAUAAAUUAUUUUCUAAGUUGGUUGCUAAAAGAUAUUAAUAGAACAAAAAUAUCUUUAUUCAUUUUUAUUUACCUUUUCUUGUUUGACUUUUAUAUUAUCGUGUGGCGAUUGGUAAAAGUAGAAUCACAUUCUGUUAUUAUAAUUCGAUUAAAACUUUUUUCAUCUUACUAGUGUGAUGUUAAAUGAGGAUUAAAUAAGAUAUAUUUAGAUGUACAAAGAUUAAUACAGUUCAGGCUUAUUGGAAAUUAACGAAUUUCAUCCUCUAACUAUUUUAUGAAAGUAGAAUAUAGUAGUAUUAGUCAGGGAAUAUUAACAUUUUCACACAAUCAAUACGCUCUGUUCUUCAUUCUUUUCAAACCACAGACGAGUUCAUUAAUCAUCUAAACACACAAACAGUCAUUUUUCUAUCCAAAAUACAACUCACAAGUAUAUAAUAAGUUAAAAAACAACAAAUAAAAGAAAGAAUAAUAAAAAAAUGGUUUGAAUAAGAAUCUGAGACUUACCGAGAAAGAAGAGAAAAAAAAAAGCGAUUCAGGUAAAAAUUAGCAGACUAAUAGGCAAAAAAAAUUGACGAUUCGUUCAGCGAUGGCAAACAAGCAUCAAAUGUUUUGAAAAUGAUAAUUUAUGUUAGAGCUUUUGAAACUUUAAACAUGAUUUGCUUCAGUAGUUUUGUUUAAUUAUGAUUUGAAUUGUCUAAAAUAUAUGUUUUUUUUUAAUUCCAUAUGAUUUAGGAAUAAUUUUAGUUCAAUUUAGAUUUCGGGUGACAACAUGUGUUGUGAACUUGUUAAACCAUGGGUCAAUAAUGAUAAACCUAAUUUACUUUUACGAUUAUUUCAAUAGGCUGAUUGUAAUUUGCAUUAUUAAAUUGGUGUGUGUGUGUGUGUGUGUUUUGGAAAAGUGAAAAAAAUAAAAUUUAUAACUUAAUAAAAGUAAUGUUUUAAUUAAAAAAAAAUUAAAACAAUUUAGUUAGAUUUAGUGUGAUUUUUGAAAUUUGAAACCUAAACCAAAUCAUUUAAUGAUUUGGUUCGAUUUGAGGGAAAAAAAUGGACCGCAGAUCAACAUGGACUGAACCAACGAUUUCAUUUCAAUUUGCAGUUUCGAAUUUUUUUGUGCAGCCUUUAAUACAUCACUUUUCAAGUUGAGAGGAUAAUUGUUUUUUCAAUUUUUAAAUAUGUCUUUAUUUUAUGUAUAUUAUUAUCAACAAAUAUAAACUACUCCUAUAUAAAAUAUAAUCAAUCUGAAAAUGAAAGGAAACUUAUCUUUAUGAGACAAAUAUAUUACUCACUUUGUAUGUAUACUAUUGCAUGAGGUCAGCAUGCCCAUGUUUUUUUCUUGUACAAUAAUGCUAUUUGUAGAAUCGUGAAUUACAAGUUUGUUGAUAAUUGGUUUGUUGGCAAAAAUUACUGAUUGUAAAUUUUUAUUUUUUUUGGUUAAAAUUGUCGAACGAUAUAAUGUUGUGUGACUUCUAUCAUUCAUUUUUGUACAUCAAAUAAUGCUAUUUGCAGUCGUUCACUACCAUAGUUUGUAGCGAUAAAAAAAUGUUUUAUUUCGUUUUAAAAUAAAACUUCCUUGUAUAACUCGAAUAUAAUGCGAGUUAUAUUAUUAUGUUGCUACAACACUUUCUCAAAAGUUCAAAUUAAAAUAUUUGGUCAUGAUAGUAGAGUUCACAUACUUUUUAAAAAUUUUGCAAGGUGUCGAAAUCUCAUUUAGAUGACAAAAUAUUAUGUUGUUACAUUAUUUUUUACGACACAUUUUAUAUUAAUUGCUACCUUAAAUUUUAAAAAUUAGAUAGCCUUGUUAUGCUCAAGUUCAAUUCCAUUAUCUUGAUUUCUUCUUACGAUUUUUUCAUCCACUAAGUUUAUUUAACUACCCAACUUCUAUAUUAACUUCCAUUUUAUUUGUUAGCUACCAAAAUAUAUAUAUGUAUGAAUAUUAAACUGCCUUUUUUUUUUUUUUAAAUUUGGAAGUUAUGUUGCACAUACAAAUCUGCAUUUGUAAAAAAUUCAACUUACCAUUUUAAUCCCAUUUUUGUCAACUGCCAAAAAGAAAAAAAUACAAAAAUACAAAACUGCCUUUUGAAAUUGGUUGUUAACUUGCACGUUCAUCAUCCACCACUUAUACACACAACAUUCAACUUACCAAUUUAAUAACUUCCACUUUUGCCAAUGCCAAAACCUUCCCCGUUCAUCCAUUGAAUUUAAAGAUUUAUAUUUCAAAUUCUUAACCACUGAAAAUCAAAUUACAACUCCCAUGUUAUCCAUUAACUCCCCCACUUACCAUAUUAGUUUCCAUUUCUCUUGUUUCUAGAGCUGCCAUUUGGUCAAAUUGGAUGUUAACCUGCAUGUCCCUAUUCACCAAUUGAAGAUUAAGGGUGCGUUUGAUUGCAAGUAGGAAAAUUGCAUGGAAAGAAAAUAUUUUCCAGGUAAUUCAAUUGCCUGAAAAUUGUUUACAUGGAAAAUGUUAAUUACACACGUUUGAUUGACUUAAAUUUCAACCUGAAAAAUGUUAUAAUUUUCCAACUUUAGGUGUUUGAUAGUCAUUAUUUUUCAUGGAAAUUGUUAUUUUUUUCAAUUUUAUCUGUUUGACAACCACUAUUUUCCAUGAAAAUUGUCACUUUUUCCAUGAAAAUUUGUCAAUGAAUGUUCCAACUCUUAAACAAAUUAUAGACAUAAAUUCGACCAAAUCCUAAUCAAUCCUAAUUAAUAUAGCAGUUAAUUUGUGGAUAAAAACAUGCCAAUAUUCGGAACGAAAAAUGCAUAAACACUGUCGAAAUGAAAUAAUUAUCCCUACCAAUUCAGAUUACUACUAGUUAAAUAUUCUUCUUUGCAAUCAAAAAUAAUAAUCAGAUAAUCAAUUCAAUAAAUAAUGAUGAAAUUUCGUCCAACGUAUUACAUAAAACGAAAAUGAAAAAACCCGUAAAAUCUCUAUCAUAAGAAAAUAGGAAAUAAAAUCAACAUAGAUGUCAUACUUUCACAUAUGUUUGUUGAAUUAUCCAAGCACGUCAUCUCAAAAUAGCGGAGGCGGAUCACGGCCCAAAAUUUCAAAUACUAAAUCACGCAUGAAUUCUUCAUUAGUCAAACUCAUAAAUACUCUAUCCAGACUCUCAUCCGAUCGAAAAAUUUUCAUUACUUGCAUUAUAUCACUCUUUUCUAUACUCAUGCCUUGUAAUUUUUCUAGAACCAACUGCCAAUUGAUGUGGUUUAGUGUAUCUAAUGGUGCUUGAGUCUCCAUAGCAUUAGCAAUUUUUUUAGAUGAUUCGGAAAUGCUUCAUAGGGCAACGAGACUCUCAUCAUUAGGUUGGGUACAUCGACGGCGAACUUUGUUAGUUCCUCCUUCGGUGUUACCCUUAGGAGCGCGAAUGGGGCUUGGUUCCGUAUCCUCAUUUUGACCAUCAACUUCAUGCACAUUUUCAUCUAAAAAAAUUAAUAAAAUAAGAAUUUGUUAGAAUCUCUAAUAUAAUACGAAUUAUAUAAUUUUUUAUGUACGAUCUAGUACGUACCAUGAUCGGGGGAUAAAAUGUCAUUGCCGGUUACAGCGCGAUCUCCUGUAGCAGAAUCAUAUCCAAAGAUAGCCUCCAAAUCAUUAUAACGAGAACAAAGUUUGGUCUUCCACUUUCCAAAUUCUGGUUUGCCCUACAAGAAAAAGAGUGAAAUAUGUUUUACGCUAGUCAGUGGUUAAAAUAAAUUAUAUUACUAAUAUUUAAAGAAUAAUACUUUAGUUGGUCAAUGAAAUUUUGUACCUUCAACAACUCCUCCCAAACUAGUACAUCGACUGUGACACGUCCAGUGUGAGGAUCUAACCCAAAAUCACUCAUACUUAACAACUGAUGAACUUCAACAUAUUCUUUUUUCAGAGUUUUCAAUCGCGCCCUCACAUUCUUAUCAGACACCACGACUCCGCAUCCAUUGUGCACACUCUCGAUUGCUUUGGACACGUGAAAUGAUGAAAAGCCAUUGUCACUUCUUUUGUGACUAGCCAAACACUUGAUGUAGUAGUGCAGUUACCAUACAACCAUCCAUUGCAUCACUCUAACGUAUUUGAUGAUUCCUAGAAUUAGGAUCCGCUUGAGUUGAGCUUAUUUCCUCCACAUCUGAAUGGAGGGUUGGUCUAGGAACUCGAUAAGGAGCUGUAGAGCUUUGUCGAAUAUUUGCCAUGAUAUCUAUAGUGCAAAAUUAACUGUUUAUGGUCAACCAAUAAAUAAGAACAUUUAAGAAAAUUACAUGUCAACAAUUUGUCUCCAAUAACAGCAAUUCAAAUUACAAUAUUUAAAAUUCUAGCAAGCUUACGUAAACUAUUAUAGGACAUGGAAAAAAAAAUAAAAAAUAUGCUUCAUGUCAAUAUGUCUUCAAUUCAAGUAAUUACGACAGAUGAAAGUCUAGUAAGUAUAUAUCCAUUACAUAAAAAGAAAAAAAAGAAAAAAACGCCACAAGAAAAAAAAGGAAAAAAAGAAAUCAGAUUUCAAGCAAAAUCAAUUCCCGCAUUCUGAUUGGGAAGAUAAUCAGCCCACAUUAAAUCAGCAAUCACAUUCCUCUUAUUAGACCAUACUUCCUGAUUUGUGAAAGAUAUGUCAGCAUUUGGAGUUUCAUCUUCAGGUACAUCAACAUGCGUAGGGUUAACCUCAUCAUCACUACUAUCUAAAUCGUCCUCCUCACAAACAUCUUCAAUGUCAUCAAUCCCUAAGAAGUUGUGGAUGGCAGAACAGGCAAGGACUAUCUUUGCUUGUGUGUCAAUGUCGUGAUAGGGUUGAUGUCUCAAAUAUGCAAAUCUUUUUUUCAGCAAACCAAUUGUAUGCUCAAUAACAUUACGUAGAGAUGAAUGUCAAAAAUUGAACAACUCCUUACUACUUUCAGGACGUUGACCUUCAAUGUCUCUACGAUGAUAACGAGUCCUACGAUAUGGUGCAAGUAAACCCGAAACCGAUGGGAAGCUAGCGUCAACAAGAUAAUAUUUACCUAGAAAAGAGUCGUUCAUAAGAUGGUAAUUAGGUAAUUAUUAUAACUUAUGUGUGGAAGAAAUGUUUAUAAAAUAGUGACACAACUUACCAACAGGAAUUGCUAGCUUAUGUCCUUGGUGUAAUAUUGCACUCCGUAACAAUCGACCAUCAUGUGCGGAUCCCUCCCAACCGGCAAGCACGUAAGUAAAUUUCAUAUCAAAUGUGCAAGCUACUAAAACAUUUUGGGAGAUCACUUGCUUUCUAUUGCGAUAUUUACCUUGCUCCUCUAAAGGCACAUACGCAGCAAUAUGUAUAUCAUCGAUUGUUCCUACGACAUCCUUUAAAAAAGAAUACUUUUCAAAAUAAAUGUGUAUAUUGAAGUUUUAAGAAAUAUGACGAAAUAAUUACAAACCACUAACCUGGAAAAAGGAGCAUCAUGGCUGCACAUUUUCUUUUUCGUAUGGUGAGUUAUGAGGAGUGGCAUUAAUCACAACAUCUCUAUACAAUCCAAGACAAGCGUGUAAGACUCUGUGAAAGUAAAAGCUCACUGUUUGACCAGAGCGAAAGAAAGUAAAACGUCCAGCACGAUUACGUUGGUCAUGCCCGACUGUAUUCAAAAAAAUUGCGACUUGUUCCUCAAUUCGAACGUAUUUCCUAUCAACCAAUCCAUAACUUCGCAAAGGAGCACAUAAUAUUUGAAAUGGACCUAUUUUCAUCCUAAGGAGAUCACGACAUAUUGUAUCACUCGUGCCAAACAUUCGUGUAAGUGUUAUUUCUCUUUUAGAAUUCCAAUUUGUAUGAGGAGCUCUUAGAAGAUGUCGUGCACGACACCUAAAUUCAUUAUAUAUCACAAUCGCUUGCAUGAUCAUCAUCCAAAAUAAACCUAAAUGUUGUCGUCGACAUCGAUGUUGAUUCGUUGUUGUAGCCAUGUUAUAAACUACCACGGUAAAUACAAAUUCAAUGUAAGAUUAAAACAAUGUUUGAAUUCGUAUAUUUAAAUGUCCAAAAUCACACACAUAUAUAUCUAGUUAAUUGCUCCAAUGAGAUACUACUACUUUUUCAGAGAAAAGUAACAAAAUAUCACUUUUCACAUUCUCAUUUUUAUAAACACCUUGAAUGUAUCAAUUGAAUCUAGCAGGAGCCGCCCCAACCUAGAGCCCUCUGCUUCCACCGUUUCUACAAUCUUAAUUGUAAACCCCACUACCUUCAAAUACCCAUGUUACACCACUUUCACGGCACUAUAACCAGCACACACACAACUCUUUAUCUGUACAGCAAAAUCACAUAAAUAACUAGACAUUAAUAAUCUAAGCAUGCUCAUAUAUAGAAAUAGAGCCAAAGAUCCGAUUCAAAAAGGUGAGAAUUCUAAUAUAUUACAUAUAUGCUACCAUGUUCGAUUUUUAGAAAAUGUCGGACAACAGACAUCAAGCCCAAAAUAUUCCAAAUAAAUAUUUUUACCUAAACUAGAUUAUAUUAAUUUGAUAAAAUAAGAGACCCCAGAAUUAGUCAAAAUAAUGCAACAUAAAUGAAGCAUUUCUACAGUCUUAUUUUGUAUUCAUCCAACAAUCAGAAAAAGCUUUCACUAAUAUGAAAAACGCAUUUGACAAAGCUAAAGAAACCCAGAAUAAAAACGCCUAAUAAAGAGGAAAUUCAUGUGAAAAACCUUGAUUUUUUAGAAACUGGGCUAGAAACUGACAUGCUUGCCUAAAACGGAUGAGCACUUUUAGAGAUAGAGAAAGACAGCGAAGUUAGAGAUCCAUCACAAUCCAUUGUUUAGAUAUUUUUACGCGUGCAGUUGAAGGAAACCACUAGCUUCAAAAUACCAUAAAGAGACAUACAAAGGUGUCGUAUAAAUACUUGUUGAGAUGAGCAUAUAAUUAGUCAUCGGUUGUUUCUCUCAUCGAUUCAACCUGCUCUUAGAGCCCUUACUCGUUCGUGAAUGAAAAUUGGUCGUAUAGGUAUCAAAUCCCCAAAACUUAUUUAGCCCUUGUAUAACUAUAAUUGGUGAUAUACAUUACACUCACAUGAAACUGACCUUGCUUUGAAUCCAUUAUGUACGAGUCUGCGAAUUAUUGUUAAUGAUAGAUUAUGCUUGCACACUCACUGUGUAAAAUCAAUAUUUGUUGGAUUAAAAGUUUCUACUCUUGAAUAAAAAUCAAUACUUGUUAAAUUGCUAUUUCUGCUGUUGUAAAAUUUAACUUGCAAAAUUUUUUAGCUAACGUGAGAAACAUGUUAGUUCCUAAACAUGUCAAAUUAUUGCGGUACUAUAUCUUCUGUCUUUAAGCUGCUGUCAUUCACAAAUGUAGAGUUCUGGAGUAUAUAGAGCCAAAAGAUUAGUUGAGGGUGAUUUUGAUACAGCUUCUUGUGAAAUUGCUGAUAUAACUUUCCAUCAAGACCCAUUGCACACACAAGAUGCCAAAAGACAAAAAAAAAAAAAACAAGAUUAUGGGUUGUCUAAAUCAGUUGGUGAAGGAUUAGCGUCUCCUUUUGACAACACAGCAGUUUCCAACAUUAAUAUGCACCGAACAUAGACAUAAUUGCUUGCUCCUUCUGCCAUUCUUCUAAGCAGAUAGAAGUAAGUUUCAACAUAAAUAAUGUCUCUUAUAUUUUCAUCGUUAUGCAAGUCUUAUGCCAUCAACUUUCUGUUGUUGCCAUAAAAAAAUUGUGGAUUAGAGGUAAAAUAUAUCUCUACAUGUUUGAAUAAGUCUUUGUUUCUUUGAACUAAUUUAUUUUUUCCUAAAUAUUGUAGUAGACAGGACCAAUGCUUUACUAUGCCAAGGGAAAGGAAGUAGUAGGAGAUGUUGCUGCUCUAUUAUGCACUCUUCAUCUGUUGAUAUCAAAUCCUAAUCCCGAUUUCUUUGAGCUUUAUACAUCAAAAAACAAACAUGCAGGAAGAUUUUCUAAUGCUCUGUCCAACUCACAACUCUGCUAAAUUCCCAAGAGAAAAAUCCAUGUAUGUUCUCACAUGGUAGAAAUACAACUUAAAUUCUAACACUAAUUCUAUCAGCAGCUCCACCUCCAUGCAGGACCCAAUUUCUCUCUCCCUAUAAUCAUCAUAGAAGACAACCAAUUUCCACACAUUCAUCAAAAUUGCACUGCCUAAACAGCUUUACAAUUUUGUCCCAAACCUUUUUAUUUGCAGCUCGUAUCCUGUGAUUUAGAUUAUCACUGGAAUAAUGUGCGUUUGAUAAAUAAUUACUCAUACAUCACAGAAACAGAAUUGGGGGUGAUUACAAAUGAGAAAAAUUCUGGAAUUCGUGUUCCAUUCCGCAUCCAAUCACAUGGAAUCUCAAAAUCAAGAAAAACAAAAACAAAAUUGGAAUCUGCAACUUGAAAUAAUGAGGACCCAUGAAAAAACGAACCCUAACAAUUUUUAAACAAAGAGAAUCGACAAAACUGAAACAUCAAGAAUAUGGUGGGUUGAUUGUUAAACUAACCUCAAUCUAUGCAGUCAUCGCCUCGUUGCCAACCUUUCGCAGUGAUUUCCCCAGAGGCAAAUCGUCGAUUUCUUCUUCCUGGUUCGGUUGAAUCGAUGAGAGAGUGAGACGCCUUCCUAGUUCCUUUCAAUCGAUGAGAGCAGGUUGAAUUGAUGAGAGAGACGGUACGUGGGUAGAGAUGAGAGAGAGAGAGAUAUUCACGUGGGUUGGUUACUAGAAUUUUUGGAAGGGUUAAAUUCCACCUUACCCCAAGGAAAAUAUUUUCCUUGUUUUCAAGGAAAAUGUGGUCACGUGACCAAAAUACGGAAAAUAUUUUUCUUGGAAAAAAUUGUCAAUCAAACAAGACAAAAGUAAGAAAUUAGGUGGAAAAACCCGUUUUCCAUAGAAAAUGUGUGCAAUCAAAUGCACCCUAAGAUUUCAAAGUCAUAAGUUUAUUUUGACAACUCAAAUUUAAACUCAUUUAGCCACGUUUUCUCUCUCAAACUAUUAUAUCUAUAUAUAAAUUUAUUUUGCCCUUUUUUCCAUAAAUUAAAGAACCUUUAAAUCUAAAAAUUCUUUGAAGAAAUAUACGCUGCAUUUUAUUUCCUUGGACACGAAAGGAUAUUCAAACUCCAAAUAUUAAGGUAUGGGUGUUUCGGCACUUCUGUAAGUGAUAUAAAAAUUAUUUAUUUUGGUUUUGCAUUAAACGUGUUAUUGUAUUACUCAUGAAGUAAACGAUUGAAGGUUACACUAAUAACCAAAGUUUGUAUUUGUGUUGUUGUGUUACUAAUGAAGGAAGCACCGUUUGGUGUUUCAAAUAAAAGAAAGAGAUUGCGGUGACACCAAUGACCAACGUUUGCAUUUCUGAAAAUAUAUAUAUUUUUACCAUUUAUUUCAAUGCCUUCCUACUGAGUAUUAUUUGUGGUAUUCAUCCCUAUUAAAAUAUUACAGGUUGAUUCGAGGCAUGGUCGUGGUUUGGCAAAGUGGCAAGUACUCGGUGACUUAAAAAGCUGCAACUUUCUAGUAAAAUUUCUAGUAUGUGUAAAUGUGUUUUGAAUACUGAGAUGACACCUUUAAAAUUGUUUAGAUAUCUUUUUCAUCUAGUUUUAUAUGCAUUGUAUGUCGACUAUAAUUUAUAAAUGUUGUAUUUGUCUAUGCAUAAAGUUUAAGUAUUGCUGUAAUGAAAUUUUAGAUUAUGCCCUUCUACUCAAAGUAGCAUAACUAAGGCUAUAGCAUAUAUUUUAGAGUGAAGUCAGUGAUAUUUGAAAGUUUUACGAGUCUUAUAAUAAUGGCCUUUGGAAUUACCCAAAAAUAUUAACUAGAGAAAAAGUUAUGCUCGUUUUAGUAAACUGUGUUAGGUUAGAUCCAAAUUUUUUGUCCAGCAUGGUCAAACAAUAUUUUCAUACUUCAAACAUUAUCGUCAAGAUCCCUAACUUUUAUAUGUUGUACAAAUAUGAAUGUUUUAGUCUCUGUUAAAAUUUCAUAAUUUUUAGUCGUCGUGCUAGACCAAACAUAUUUUUCUUUCCACUACUGUGCAAUUGGUAAUUGCUGAAUUUUUCUCAAAUGUUUUCCAAAAAUCAAAUUUUACCAAACUUGUCUAAGUUUACAUUGACAAAUGUCUCAUUAUUUCUCAUAUAUUUCAAACUCCAAAUUUUUUCUUAUUUACAAUUUUUUGGUUAACAUCAAAGGAGUCAAACCAAAGAAAGAUUGAUUUUUUUUAAGCUUUGAGUUCUGAGAGUUUGGGGCGUUACACAAUCGCUCUACGUGACAUAUAUGUAGCAGUUAAUGAUUUAUUACGUAAAGUAAUAAAAAUUAUUACAUUAAUGUAUCAAAUCACAAGCUGUCAUAUGUAUGUCUUGUAGGAUGAAUACGGUAGUAAACGACUGUGAAUAAUAUUAACAUCAUAUAUGAUUCUUUCUUCUAUAGCCUUAAACUCUGCAUGGACGCUUUCACGCACUUAAUAUUAGAGUGUAUUUGAUUGGUAUGGAAAAUAUCACAUAGAAAGUAAAAUAUUUUCCUUCUUUGGUGAAAAACAAAAACCACAUCCACUCAAAAAAAAAAUGUUUUCCAUAAAAACAAUGAAAAUUAGGGUCUGUUUGAUUGUAAAGAUGGAAUUGAAUUGUUUAGAAAAUGAAUUUCAAGGAAUUGAAUUGUCUUUCAUGAGAAUUGUAAAUUAUUGUGUUUGAUUGGUAUAAUUUUUCACGUGAAAAAUGUUGAAAUAAAAGUGUUUAUUGGUGUUCGUUUGAUUUUGUUUUACAUAAAAAUUGUCAAUUAAAGGGAUAUAUUUUACUGGUAUUGGAGAUUAAAUUUGAUUCCAUUGCCAACAUAAAAAACAAACAAACAAACAAACAAAACAAAACAAAACAAAACAAAAAUUUUAAGAAAAUCAUUUAUCUUUCGGUAUUCGUUUGACUUUGUUUUAAAUGAAAAUUGUCAUUUAAAUGGAAAUAUUUUUAUACAAUAAUUCUUAAAAUUUGUUUUCAUUGCAAAAAAAUGAAAAAAAAAAUGCUGCAGUAGGUAGAAAAACCAAUUUCCUAGCAUAUACGAUGUGAAUUGGUUUUCCUUAAAAACCAAGAAAAGUGCAAACUUCAAGACAACCAAGAAUUAGAAUUCCAUGGGAAAAAAAAAAUGUAUCAAACGUCUGAAGUUGGAAAAUACAAUUCUAAUUCCAUUUCAACCCUAUCAAACACACCCUACGGCAUAUUUUCAAAAGUUGAAAAAUGUUUUCCCUAAAAAAAAAUAGCUAUCAAACACUCCAAAUAAGAAUUUGGUUAGAACAUUGAUAUUUUUCAUAAAAAAUAAAUGUGAUUAAUCAAACCCAUUCUUAAAAUAAAUAUAUAGUUGUGACCUCGAAAUUCUGAGACAUGAGAUUUCAACCACCAACAUCCCAUCCGUAGGUUAUUAGCACUCCUUUCAAGAAUAUUAUCGUGUCUCUCAUUUUCAACUCCUUCCAACUUGAAAACCCAAGACUAGUUUUUGGAAAACCCUACCCAAGCUCAAUUAAUUUUGUUAAGGGAAAAAAUUACGAUUUUUUUUUUUAAUGCAUUAGCCCGUAUAAUUUGAUUUUAUUUUUUGGGAACCCCAGGCUUUGCCCUUGAGUGAGUAUAUUCGUUCAAGAAGAGGUCCAGAAGAUGUUGACUUUGAUACAUGUACAUCAAAUUUUAUACAAUGAGUUACAUAAUUUCACACGUCACUUUAUCAUUUGUUAAUUUAAUAUACAAUCAAAUUUUCAUCCAAUUUUUUUCCUCUAACAUCAUUUUAUUAACUUGUUAUGUACUAUAUUUAUGUACAAAUAGUAUAAUCUGAAUUUAAAUUAAUCUAUCUCAUGUUGUUUUUCAAAUUUGAUAAUUGGACAUAUCCUCGAACCCAUCAAUAUUGUUAAUUGGAUCGGCCCAUAAUGUCAAUUUUUAUUUCUAAAAAUUUAAGACUUGUUACGUUUGUGUUUCAAUUUUUCAAUUUUGGGUUCUGAAUUCAUUUUAAAUUUUCUAGAUUGAGAGUCUAUUUUAAGAUUACUAAAAAUAUGUUUGAUUUGUUAUUUUGAAAAAUUAUUUCUCAAAAUAAAAAAUUAGAAAAUAUGUUUAGUUCGAAAUUUUGAAAAAUUAUUAUUUGUUAGAAUUUUAUAUUUUAAUUUUUUAAAAUUUUUGAAAAGUUAUUUCAACGAUUGUUUUCCAUGUUAAACGAUCGUUUUGAAUUUUAUGUAAUAAAUCUAUCCUUAUUUUUGAAAUUUUAUUUAAAUGAUCAUUUUAAAUUUUAUGUUAUAAGUUUAUCCUUAUUUUUGAAAAUGCAUUUUUAGAAAUAUUUGACCAAACACAUUUUCAGCGUUUUGCAAAAUUGAAAAUUGAAAACAAUAUAAAAACAUCAAACCAAAUGCACCAUUAAAUUCUACAUGGUACAUAUUUCUAAAAAAUUAUUUUUUUCAAACUUAUUUUUAACUUGAUAUUCUUCCAAUAAAAUAAUUCAUAUGGAUCCAUAAUUUAUUUCUAAACUUUAACCACAUAUUUUUUUAUGAAUAUCUCUAAUUAUAGAAUUUAUUGAAAAGAAUUGCUUUAAACACAACCUUUGCCCUGGUUUAAAAUUUUGAUGAAAAGAUAGGCAGGGGUUAACAAUUAAUUUUAAUCUACAACUUUUAUCAAAUUUUUAAUAACAUAUUUUAUUAAUUGUUGUCAAAAUCUAAUAAAAAUCUAAUUUUCACAAUAAAUGAAUUAAGCACGUGGACAAGCUCCUAGAAUUAGAUGCUAAAAUUUUUGAAUUUUUAAAUUUAAAUUAUUUGUCACAAUAUAAUUCUCUACCACACAUUCACACAAUAAAAUAUUCAAUACAUAAACCAAUAAAGUUUCAUUACUUUUUAACCAUACUUUCUCUAAAAAUCCUAUUCAAAACUAUUUAAUUUUUCAAAUAAAGGGAGUCAAAUAGGGCCUAAGUCCCAUCAGUAUCUUGUCUACCAAAGUAAUGUUUGCUUUAAAUAAAUAACAUUUAUAAAAAAUAUGUGCAAUGAUUUUUCAGAAAUUACAUCCUAUUUGCUUCAAUUUCAACAUCGACGGAGGGGUUAUUCUAGGAGUAAUGUUAUUUAUAAUCGCUCAAUGCGGUAGCUAUCCUACAUGACAUUUUAUAUGGCUGUUUGUAAUUUGAUAUAUUAAUGUGAUAAUUUUUUCUUGUAUUGUAUAGCAAAUCACUAACCCUCACAUGUGUAUUACGUAGGACGACUGUGAUAAUAAGUGACUGUAAGUAACAUUAUUCUUAUUCUAGAGCUCAAUCAUGGUUUUUGUACCACUUUGCGUGUGGAUUUCAUUUUAUACAUAUUUGGUUAACAACAUUAAAUAGGAUUAGACAAUAUAAUAUAUAAAAUUUUAUUAUCAAUUUCUUCUCUACUAAAAUGUAAUAAUCUAAUGACUCGUCUAUGUGACGUUGAGAUCCAUCACUUUCAAUUGAUUAAAAAUUGUAAUUUCAUUAUAAUAUUUGAUUAAAAUUUUUAUACAUAUUUAAUAAAAGUUGAUAAAAAUUGCAAGGAAUCACACAUUUUACAUUUUAUCAACUUUUACCAAAAUCUACACUUAACAUGGCUUUAGUUAGGUUCUCAAUUGUUAUCUUUGUAAUUUAAUAUUAUUCAAUACGUAAAUUUAAUGUUAGACUCAUGCAUAUCAACCUUUUACAUGACGAGAUCACGGGUUCAAAAAUUACAACCUUCGAAUUUGAAGUUCUUGUUCCUCUGCCUAUAUAAAUAUGUGAAUUUGGGUCCACAAUGAUCGAAACUAUCAAUGUAAAAGUUCAUGCAAAGUUGAAUGAAAUCAUUCAUAUCCAAUUUAACUGAAAUUCGUGUAUAAUUUGAAUGUCUACAUUAUAUUUAAUAGAUUGUGACUCAUAAUCAUACUAAGCUUUCCAUUCAAAAAUGAAUAUUUUCAUGAUGAAUUUCUCAAAAUUUUAUAACAAAUACAACACUAUGGUUUCAAUGGGACCUAUUUGAGUCUCAUUUUUUGAAAGGAUUGUGCUACAGAGCCCGAGUUUAAAUCUCGGGCUCCAAUCCAGUUGAUCGUCUACACUUGGGGGCCCGUCAUCACAAUCGGGAGCAGAGGUGGCAGGGUUUUCAACAUUUUUCUUUUUGAAAAUACAAGUUUUGAAAUAGAGUUAAAAAAAAAUAAAAAUAAAUAAAUAACAAUUUGUGGUUGUGGUUAAAAAGUAAUUAAGAGUGUGGAAUUCAAAAUAAAUUCGAGAAAAAAUGAUUUUUAGAGAAUGAGAUUGAAAAUAUAUUGAAGAAAUAUGAGGCGCUUUCGUUGAACACGACUGCCCAAGUACAUGGAAUUUGGGGAGUUGUGGUCGACCUUGGACCCCAUUUCUUUUCUCAAACUCCAUUUUGCUUUUUCUUUCUUUAUUUCCAUUUUGCAAGAUAGGUUUGUGUAUGGCCCAAUUUUUGGGUCCGUUUUAGUUGUUAUCGCCCUGAUUGUUUUGGGCCCCAGUUUAUUAUUUGUGGAAAUUACACGCAUUACCUUAAUUAAAUUCAUAAUACCAUUGUUACUUUCCCUUAUUUUUUAUUUCAGAAAAUACUAUCUUUUAAAAUUAAAAAUGCAAAGUCAUAAAUCAAAUCCAAUACCAUAUUUCACGCUCAAAAUUUUGGAAACUUUUUCACUACCCAAAUCCUUCCAUUCUUAGAGUUAAUUUCUGGCACAAUUCUAGUCCAAAUUAAAAUACAUUUCUGUUUUAUCUUCCUCAUUCCAACUUUCAUACUUGUUUCGCGCGAGUUAGUCGCUAACAAUUAAAAAGGAUCAGACGAUUGUGUAAGGGACGAAACCUCUUGAGACAAAGUCCCUAAAAGGGGUGUUCUUUUAUUGAUGAUAAACUUUACAAUUGGAAAAGAAAGACAACGUGCCUCCAAGGGGCGCAAGCACACGAGUUACUGAAAGAAAAGUGCUUAAAUCUAAAAACUAAGGAAAUGAAAAUUACAUGUUUUCUAUUCGAGAGUUUUGGAUUCGGUCCUUUGCUUCUAUGUCCUUUCUCCCUUUUAUACUUCAUAGACGAUCUCUUUGUGAUCAACUCCUAUAAAAACUGUUUGAUCGUCCUAUAACUACCCACUUUCUUCGUAAUGGCCACCUUGUUAUGAAAACUGCCUUUUAACUGCUGUCAUUACCCUUCAUCGUUCAACCACUUUCGAUUGAAUUCUUUGAAUUGUGGAACGUGAUAGGGCUGCUUUAAUAACUGCUUUGAUAACUGCACUUCUUGAUAACCACGACGCGUUAUGUUUGUUAAUACCUUGGGCGACUUGAAGGUUUGGGCGAGAAUAGAGUAACAAUUCUGGGCGACCGUAUGACACUCUAUUCAUUCAGAUUUUGGGCGACUUGCAAACUUGGGCGAUGGCGUUAUCGCAUUCUUGGGCCUCCUUAUUUGGGCCUUCAUCUUGAUUUGUUCGAUUGGGCUUCGUUCUUUGGGCUAUCUGAUUUGGGGAUCCUCCAAUUGGGCUUCACUACUUGAGCUGUUCGAUUUGGGCUGAAUUUUUAUGUGUCAACAAUUACCCCCCAAUAUGGCAGAAUUAAUAAUAAUUAUUGAAUUUUGCCAUAUUCACUUUGUGUUUCCAGCAACAUUCGAAAUUUCCAAUAAUUUCAAUCAUUGUUUCCUUCUAUAACUUGAAAAAGUGCGUCGUUUUGCAAACCCUUAUAAACCCCAGACACGCCAUUUCACUGCUACCAAACCACGCCUCAUAUUUUUUGCGUCUCUUUCAAGAUUCACUGUUCAUCUUUUGCUUUCUUGCUACGUAACCCUGAAAAGCUUCGUUCCUUCUCCAAUGGCUGCUUCACAAUCUCAAGCUAGCGAUUCCUUUAGUUUUGAUGACUUUCAGAGACUUUUGAGUCGCCCAUACAUAACCCCAAGUUUUCUCGCGCCCGCCGACGUUGGACGUAAUGAGUUUUACUUGGGUCCUUUCUUCAACAAUGCGGAGGCAGUUGAACAGGCGGCGGUGGGUCAGCUGUUUCCUUGCACUCAUGGCCCUCCUUUUCUAAACUCUCUGCCGUUGGGGCCACUUCGCGAAAGAGGUAUUCGCACUUGGCCUAAAUCUGAUGUAGCUUUUCGUAAGUGGCAUACUCGCCUUGUGGGUCAUGGUCCUACUAAUGCACUUUUUGAUAGCGCUAGGAUUUCUGAUUAGUUGGAAUUUGGAAAUCUCUGUCCGCCCCCCUACUUUCGAUUCAGCACUCUUUUCAAUUGCUUUGAGUUUUUGAUCUUCUGAGUAUAACACUUUUAUUUUCCCUCUUGGCCCCAUGUCUAUUACCUUAAGGGAUGUUGGGGCCCUAGUGAAUCUGCCACCUUUGGGUGAUACCAUUUUUCCUGAUAUCUUAGUUUUUGGUGGCGCCCCAAAGUUUGGUAGAAACUACACCGAUUCUUAUUCAAGCCUGCAGACCCUCCACAAUCAUUUGAGUGCUGAGCCUACCCAUACUGAGCGAGUGGCCUUCCUUUUAGUUUGGCUUUGUAAAAAUGUUUUGUGCGUGCCAAGUAUAAAGCCUUCUCUGAGUUAUUUACCUAUAGCGCACGAAUUGGCGCGUGACAGGCCUUUGAAUUUAUGUUCUUUAUUUUUGGCUGCCCUUUAUAGAGGCAUGGCCUCUCUUCAAGCUCAAUUGAAGAAUGGUGCAUCUCUCACUGGCAGUGAACCUCUUUGGUUCACUCAACUGUGGUUGAGAUCCUAUUUUCCAUCGUUGGGUGCUCCAUCCAUUUCUCGCCCUUCUGCUAGCUGUUAUGGGCUAGCCAUGGAGCCCUUAACUCCUGUAAAUAUGUCCAGAAGGGACCUUUUUUCAUUCUUUUAUUCUUUGGAUUCAAUCCCUUCCUUUUUUCCUUUUCCUCCUUUUUUGAUUCCAAACUAUGUACAUCCCCCUUCCACUAUAGAUAACGCGAGCACUUCCCUGCUCACUUGGAUCCAGUUUUUAACUGGGAGGGAGUUAUUUCAUGAUAUUCUAACUGGGACCAAUGCCAAAGCGGGGGUAGAGAUUUAUGCUCCCCAAUUUUUUGCUCGUCAGUUUGGUUUUGGCCAAACCUGGCCUGUUCCUCCUUGCUAUUCAAGGAACUUAGUUGACCAUUUUCAUACCAUUACUAAGGCGGAGGCAGAGGCUAUAGAUACUCGUAAUCUUCUUUUAACCAGUCAUUUUUCAUUGGCCCCCUUCAAUUCUAGCCACGCCAUUCACCCUCUUUUUGAACAACUCUAGCCGUCGGUGAAGCGCAGAUUAUUUGCGACUGAUGCCAAUCGUGCCUUUCAUUCAUUAGACCAACCGAGCAUUUCUUCUCCUCCUCCUGUUUUGGUCACUCCUUUGUCUGUUCGGAGCCCCUCUCCUUCUCGUCGCACUAAACAGUCUGCUCGUCCAUCUUCUUCUCUCCCUGCCAAGCCUACUACUGCCAAGAGUGCUCCAAGCCGCAAACGGCCAGCCUCAGCAUCUCCCAUUCUGGAGGAUGAUGUUGAUGAUGAUGAUGAUGCCCCUCUUAUCGUCAGGAGGAAGGUAAUUAAAUUGGUUUACUUACAAGUAUACUUUUUCACAUUUGAAACUUUUGUGUGUGCUGAUGAUCUUUUGGACUUUUCAGAAAAGUUCAGCCUCUCCUUCAAAGGCUUUGGCAUCGACAACUCCUGCUCCAUCAUCCUCUGCUGAGGCUACUUCAUCCAAACCGGUUGAUGAGGGGACUACGCUUAAAGAUACAUUUUCAGUCCCAGAGUCUUCAUUACAACCCAUGGAUGAGCCACCUUCUUCCCAGGGCGUCGACCCCCCAAACAUCGAAGCAGAAGGUAAUUCAAUUUUUCGAUGUCUUACCUUUGCUAGUGCUGUUGGUUUCUGACUUGUUGCUCUUGACUUUUGCAGAUACUCCUAUGAGUCCACCCGUUGUGGCAACAUCUUCUCGCUCAGACAAGGGGAAGUCCUCACGAAUGGAGGAGUCGUUAGUGGCAGACUUGGUUGAGGGCAUGCCAUCUUCCACGAUCGUUGAUGAGGUAGUCUUUGCUUCACUUCUAUUUCUAUUUUGUUCGUUAUGGUGAGCAUCUUUAACAUUGGCAAUUUUCUUUGCAGGAUGCUGACAGGAUUGUGUGUUCUAUCCAAGACUUGUUCGCUACCUGGGGGCAAGUCCAAAUGUCUCGCCCUGCUCCAUCUGAUGUUCCUGUUGCUUCUUUAGAGGAAGAUUUGAAGUUCCUAAAGGAGUCGAUAUUUGAGUACGUAUCCUUCAUGGAUAUGGAUAUUGGAAGGGCUAGUGCUGCCAGACACAAGGAUGAACUUGAGCACUUGAGUGCGAAGUUGGGGCAAGCACUGACGCUUCCGUCGCUCAAUCUUUCUGUCGAUUUUAAAGCGACGUUGAAGGUUAUCCACUCCGAGGUCCUUUCUAUGCUGGCCAAAAAUGCUGAACUAAAGGCCAAGCGUACUCAAUAUCUUCGAGCCGUAGCUGAGAAAUAGUCUUUGCGUAUGGAGAUUAACAAGGCUGAGGACGAGUUGAAAGAAAUCUCUUCCGAAAUCAUGAUUGAAGACUCUUUGAUGGUUAACUUGGCUGCUCAGAUGAGGGAACUUCAAGCUAAAAUGGACGACUGCAGGGCGAGAAUGGCUGCUAAAAAGCGCAACGCCUCCCAGGGAAUUGAGCGAACUAAGUCCUUGGUCGAGCAGUACAAGAAGUUAGAAGUUGAUGAUGAUGUCGCGGCUGAAUUGAACAUCACUUCCUCUCAGCAGAAUGAGGAUUGGGAAAAACUUAGGGAAUGAAUUCGUUCCAUAUGGGGUAGACUGUAAUUAAGACAUAUGAUGUCUUUUUCUUUUGUAAUUCGAUUUUUCCCUUUGUAACUUUGUUCAUCAUUAAUGAACAUUAACUUCUUGUGCAUUUAUUUGACGUUUAUUUUUUAGUCAUCAAUUCUUUAAGCACUUAACUGCUUUGCACUAAGAAUCUUGUCCAUUUCUUUUUGAUAUUUCCACCACUUUUCCCAAGACUUUGGGCUAUUUAAUUUCGUUUAUUAGAUAGAAAUGUGGCUGUUCAUAUUCUGUCUCUUUAUCUUCACCCCUAUAAAUGCUUCGCAUUUUUCAUCUUCUAUCUUCAUCUCUUCAUUUUCUUCUUCGAAAUCAAUUUGCUGCCAUUUCUCGGCAUUCUGACGAUCAAUCUGAUUCAAAAUGGACUGUUUAGUCCGCCCACCUUACUAUUUACCUUGAUGUCACCUUUGGUAUGGGAGGUAUAGGAAAUAUUUUCUGGCCAGCAGCGAAGUUCUUUCCUGCAAAAUUCUUCCCAUCGUCUCUUUAUUCUUCACAAGGAGUCAAAGAUGGAAGACAAUUUUUGGGCUGCUUGUGGGCCACUUUGCUUGCUGAGAGUGCUUCUCAGCUUGCCUGCUGAGAGUGCUUCUCAGCCUCUUUGCUCGCCAUUGCAGCGAUGCAUUUAGGAAGGUGGUGAGGCCAGUACACCCUCUUACUCGACAAUCCCACCAUUGCAGCAAUGCAUUUAGAAAGGCGGUGUGAAGCUUACUCAGCGAUCAACCGGGAGAUUAUCUUACUUUAGUUGUAUUUUGUAGCACAUCCAUUAUUUGUAUCUUUUGUAUUCUUGUAAUGAACGUUUGAUAAUAAAGAACUUUAUUCGAACGUAUUUCGCUCUGACCUUAUUAUCUUUUGAUCGUUCAAAAUGUUUGGUUAUGUUUUUAUCUGUUCAUAUUUCCAUAAAGAAGGAACAUAAUUUUUCAAAUAUUUGCCGUUAAUGAAUUUUACGUGCUUGGUGCCGUCUAAAUCUUCCAAGUGGUACGCUCCAUUGGCCAACACACUGUUUAUUUUGUAUAGUCCUUCCCAAUUGGGCGACCACUUCCCGUACUUUGGAUCCUUGGUAUCCAAAGGGAGUAUCGUCUUCCAAACUAGUUCAUCCAGGCUGAACGACUUGACUAUGACUUUUUUAUUAUAAAACUUAGCCAUUCUUUGCUUUUGAACUUGCAACCUAUCUAAGACGUCCAACUUCAAUUCGUCUAAACUCAAUAAAUUUUGAACUAGUGAUUCGGCAUACUCAUCAUCAUUCAACUUAUGUUGCAAGCAUGCUCGAAUCGAUUGCACGUUGAUUUCCAUAGGCAAAAUGGCCUCCUGUCCAUAAACAAGUUGGAAAGGAGUAACUUUGGUACUUGACCGAGGUGAUGUUCUAUAAGCCCAUAAGGCCUUGUUCAAACAUUCGUGCCAAUUUCUGGCGUUUUCAUCUAUCAUCUUUCUGAUGAUAUUUUUUAGAAUCUUAUUAGAAGAUUCCGCUUGUCCGUUGGAUUGAGCGUAGUAUGGUGUGGAGUUUACUAAUUUAACUCCAAAUUCGCUCAAAAAUUUGUUCACUUGAUCCCCAUUCAAAGAUGUUCUGUGAUCUACCAUUAAAGUUUGUGGAAUUCCAAACCUAUAAGGGUGAUCUCUUUCAAAGGUACCGCCUCUACCCAUUUGGUGAAAUAGUCGGUUGCAACUAUAACAAAAGUAUGUUGCUUGGACGAUGGAGGGUAGAUCUUCCCUAUCAGAUCUAUCGCCCAAUCUUUGAACGGCCAAGGUUUAAUAAUAGGUGUCAUCUCUCGUGCUGGCGCCCUUUGUAUUGGACCAUGCUUUUGGCAUGCUAAACAACUUUUUACAUACUGAACGCAUAGAUCUCCCAUCUUUGACCAAAAAUAUCCACUCCUAAUAAUUAACCAUCUCAUCCUUUGGCCAGCUGAGCUCCACAUAUCCCUUCGUGUACUUCAGCCAUGAUCGUCUUGGCUUCUUGCAAACUUACACACUUUAGUAAUACACCAUCAGAGCGUUUCUUAAACAACUCUUCAUCUAUUAGUGUGUAAUUCAGCAAACAUAGCUUUGUUUUCCUACUAAUCCCUCCAUUAGGUUCUUUAAGGAAUCCUUUAAUCUCUGUUCUCCAAUCCACUGCAUCUCCAUCUUGUAUGCAGUGAAGUUCAAUUUUUCUCGCCCUUCUUUGAGUUACGGGCAAUAUGAUUCCAUACUCACAAGUAGAUUUCCAAUUCAAGACCUUUGAGUACCCUGAAGCCAUUUGGACUAACUCAUUUGCCACGUCGUUAUAUAUCCUAUUAACGCAUUGAAGUUCUACUUGAUCGAAUUCUUCUAAUAAUUCUUGGGCGAUCUCAUAUUGACUUAUAAUGGAAUCACUUUGGCAUUUAAAAUCACCGAUCAAUUGAUGUAUCACCAAUUGAGAAUCGCCCCUAACGAUCACAUUUCUUACUCCCAUAUCUAUCAUUAGCUCUAAGCCUACAAUUAAGGCUUCAUAUUCGGCCUGAUUGUUGGUACACAUUCUGUCUAAAGUGAAUGCAAACUUGUAGCAAAUCCCUAAAGGAUUAAUCAAUGCUACUCCUACUCCUGCACCUUUAGAGGUUUUUGACCCAUCGAAUUACAACACCCAAGGUUUUAACUCGAACGAAUUGAUUUCUAGUUCGAUUUCUUCAGGUAUGUCAAGGCAUGGUUGAUCGGCUAGAAAGUUAGCCAAAACCUGAUUUUUGACUGCCUUUUGAGGUAUAUAUUGUAUUUUGAACUCUGAUAAAGUUAGUGUCCAAAGGCCUACCCGUUGGUGUAAAAUAGGGCGCGAGAACAUAUACUUAACUAAAUUUACUUUAUAAAUUAAAUAAACGGUUACGGGCUGUAAAUAAGCCCUUAAUUUUAUACAUGUGAAAUACAGUGCAAGACACAAUUUUUCAACAGCAGAGUAAUUACAUUCACAUUUCGUUAACCGUCUACUUAAGUAGUAAAUUACCCUUUCUUCACCAAAUUGGUCUUCCUGUGCGACCAUUCCAGCUAUUGAUUCUUUUUCAGCCGAUACAUACACUUUCAUUGGCCGUCCUUGGAUUGGUGACACCAACACUGGUGGAUUUGAUAGAUAUGUCUUCAGGCUUUCAAAAGCCUUUUGAUGUUCUUCUUUCCAGACGAAUUCGUCCUGAUUUUUCAGCUUUAAUAGCGGCGAAAAGAUUUUAGUUCGCCCUGCAUAGUUAGAAAUAAAGCGUCUUAAAAAUUUACUUGGCUUAGAAACCUUUGCAACUCCUUUUUGUUGCUAGGUGGUUUGACUUCUAAGAUAGCCUUCGCUUUAUUUUUAUCAAGUUCAAUCCCUCUCUUGUGUACUAAGAAACCAAGAAAAUUCCCUGUAUUAACAUCAAAUGCACACUUCAAGGGAUUCAACUUUAGCUUAUAUUGCCUCAUUCGUUCAAACGAACAUCUUAACUGUUCGAAAUGGUCUUCUUCUUUAAUGGACUUGACUACUAUGUCGUCUACAUACACCUCAACAAACUUGCCUAUCAUAUCAUGAAAGAUUAAAUUCAUUGUCCUUUGAUAAGUUGCCCCUACAUUUUUUAGGCCGAAAGGCAUAACCACCCAUUCAAAACAUCCUAGAGACCCAGGGCAUCUAAAGGCAGUUUUGUGUAUGUCUUCUUCAGCUAUAUAAAUUUGAUUGUAUCCUGAAUACCCAUCCAUGAAAGAAUACAUGAUAUGUCCGGCAGUUGAAUCUACUAAAGAAUCCACCGUGGGCAUUGGAUAUUUAUCUUUAGGUGUAGCUAUGUUUAAACUCCCAAAGUCUAUACACACCCUUAGUUUACCAUUCUUUUUUAGUACUGGCACAAUAUUCGACAACCAUUCAAUAUAUCUGGCUGUUCUUAUAAAACCUGCUUUCAAUAAUCGCUCUAUCUCUUUCUUAAUCUCAGGGAAUACAUUAGGAGCAAAAUACCUAGGAGAUUGCCUAUGAGGUUUAAAAUUAGGCUUAGUUGGUAACCUAUUUCCACCAAGUCUCUAUCUAAACCAAGCAUUUGUUCAUAUUCCCAAGCAAAACAAUCUUUGUACUCUUUUAACAAAGCGAUUAAUUUGUUACUAACCUCUUGGUCGAGUAUCUGGCUAAUGAACGUUGGGUGAUCUUCUCCUUCAUCGCCAAUAUUUACUUUGAUCAGAGGGUCUUGUGCUUGAGCGUAUCCAGGUUUGGCAAUCCGCAUCACUUCGUCGUCUAGUUCUUUUGUAAGUACUUCCUCCUCCAAACAGUCCACCUUGUUGACUUCUCGGCCAAUGCUUUGCUCUAACUCGAAUACUGACAACUUGUCCUUCAGCGCUUUUAGGGCAGUCUCUUCCUUCGCCUUGUUACUGCAUUCCUUAUUGAAAGCCAUCAGUCUGGCUUUGAAGGCUUGAAUGUCGGCCAUUUGCUUUUGUAACUUAAAGUCCAUUCAAGACUCCUUAAUUAUUCUUUUGCCAAUUACUGGCUCUUCUAGGGCCACUAUAUUUGGCCUCAUCUGUUUGAACAUCUUAGUGAGUGCGUCCACUGAGAAUGGUUCUUCGCUUUGCGCGACGACCUGAGUUUCUUCCCCGUCUUGUACCACUCUGACAGGUCCAUAGUUUCCUUCGUACAUGAACUUUUCCACCGAAUUUGCUUCUGCGACAAAAGGCCUAUGAUCGGCUUGUACCACCUCUGCUUCGCCUUUGUCAUUCCAAAAGAUCAGGCAUUGAUGGAGCGACGAGGGUAUACAGCGACUUCCGUGUAUCCAAUCUCUUUCUAGGAGCACGUUGUAACUAGUAGGACCAUCUAUUACAAAGAAGACGGUGGUCCUAGUAGUCGUAUCUAUAGUUAUGUAUAAUGGCAUAACUCCCUUAGCUGAAAUUGCUCCUCCAUUGAAGCUAGUGAGGAUGACUUCUGUAGGAAUCAUGUCACCCUCUGUUUUUGCGAACUUUCUCAUCAUCCUAGAUGGAAUGGUGUUUAUAGCCGCUCCAUUGUCGACAAGCACUUUUGCCACUGGGACGCCAUUAACUAGAGCUUUAACGUAUAAUGGCCUCAAGUGUUUAGUCAAUUUCAUGGCUGGCCGUUUAAAAAUAACCUUUUCAGCAGCCUCUAUUUCUACCUCUUGCUUGUUUUCUGUCGAAUUAUCCCCCUGUGAUAAGUCGACGUGUAGUAUAUCACGCUGAUCCUUUGUUUCCUGAACUUCCUUCUUACUUUUUUCUAAUGCUUCCUCAUCAGUUAUCCAACCUGUGGGAGGGGGCAUUAUUCUUGGAGGUGACCUAUACUUUUCAGAGCGAGGCACUCUCUUCUUCCUUUUGGGUGUCCCGUACAGUACGUAGAAAUCGAAAGGACGCCCAGAUGGCUCCCCCAACAAGUCUACUUCGCGAACUCCCUCUUGAUGUAGUUGCUUAAGCAGAGUAUUGCGCGAUAUUCCUCUCUUUUUCCUUUCUGCUUCUAGAUCGAUUUCUUCUUCAAUGUCCGUCAUCCCAUCGUCUUCCUCGUCAUUGUAGGCCUCUCCAGAAGUUUGGCCUUCUUCACAUACUAACACGCAGGCUUCUCCUUCGUUGUCCUCCCUCUCUUCUUCCUUUUCCUUAUUCUUGAAUUCAUUGACCAGUAGAUAAUUAUUGGCCAUAACAGGAGGCAACGUACCGAAUUGGAUAGCAAGUGGCUGAUCUGGAUCUUCUUCAUCCCUCUUGUCCCUCUCAAACCUUGAUCUCCCAGAAGAGGUUUCUGGCAGUUCCUUCAUUGAUUCAUCUGUACCGAUUUCUUUACUACUUUUGACGACGUUUUGAUUGGCUACCCUGAGUAGUAUAGGCGCUUUAGGAUGUGUCAUUCCUUGUUGCUGCCUCAUCAUCCAUCCGUAGUUUCGUUGGAAACGCCUUUGUUGGGUCCUAGUCAUCUUAUCGAAGGGUAUUGCCCUUCCUGCACUGUACUGAAAUGAAUGCCAUACAUUUGGCCGGCGAGCUUACGGCCUAAAUGUUCUUCCAGUAUCUGCUGGUCUGAACUGCCUUUCAAAAGGCGGUCCUCUAUAGAAUGAUGUACCUCGCCCUCUACCAGGCUGAAUGUUUGGGAAGAAGGCAGGGCGAUGAGGAUGCUGCCAUGUCCCUGGUUUCUCCAUGUUUCCAUUUACUUCUCUUUUACACCUUGCACACAGGACGUCUUCGUCCUUUUUUGGUUCUUUUCCCUUGAUUCGUUCAAAUACGCUGGGAUGUGGUCUAGGAUCUUCUUCUCCGUCAUCUACGACCAAGUUGAAUUUUGGUAACUUGUUCUUGAAUCCAGAUGUUACCAUAUUUACUCCAAGUGGCUGUGGGAAAGGAUUCUCGUCCACUGCCAUCUUUUUCUUAUCAUCGAACGUAAUUUGUCCUAAUUCAAUGGCAUCCUGCAAUACAUGACGGAAAACCAAGCAAUUGUUAGUCAAAUAUGACCAUGCAUUAUGCCACUUACAAUAUUUUUUACCCUUAAUUUGUUCAGGGUUUGGCAAUUUGUGCUUAUCGCUCAACUUUAUCUGCUUAUCCCUAUAUAAUUUAUCGAAUAUAAGGUCAGCUUUGAUCACGUCGAACGAGAACGCUCUAGCCUUUACGUUUCCAUCCUUUAUGGGCUCAUCUCUGCCCGAUGGUCUAGGCUUGGCCAUUAUGGGACAAGUAUAUGUAUCCCCUUUGACCAAUUCGGCCAAAUACAUUUCGGCCUGAUCGUAUGACUCAUCGUCGAUGGUAUGAACGUCGAAAUUUGGGUCUUUGUAAUAAGUCCCUUUACUAGAAUUUUUCAUUUGUUCUUCCUCUCUUAUCAGUCACUCAUACCUAAUCACAUUUGCACUCAACUGGAAAAGAUCAGGAAAUUCCUUGUCCUGGAACUUCUUUUUUAAAUCAAAGCUCAAGCAGCCCUGAGCGAUCUUGACAAAUUCUUUUUCGGACAGAGGUACAAAACACUUGCUCCUUGCUGUCUUGAACCUUUGGAGAAAACUUUCUGCUCAUUCAUUUGGCAUUUGACGUAAAUUCGCCAAAUCGGUCAAAGUGACUUCAGACUCAGUUUUAUAAAAUUGAGCGUGAAACAACUGUUCUAAUUGUUGCCAUGUUUGAACAGAGUUCGCUGGCAAGUUGAUGAACCAGGAGAAAGCUACUCCUGUUAACGAACUAGGGAAAAGCCUCAUUUUAUGGUAGUCGGUUACAUCACCACUCUGCAAUGUGAAUCGCCCUAUGUGUUCUAGAGUAGACACCUUUCCUAAACCGGUAAACAGUAAGAAUUCUGGUGGCCAUGGAUAUGCUUGGUCUACCCAAUCAGGAUACGGCUUUGUGUACAUUGGCCUGAUGACGGGACGUACCCCAAAAGCCAUCUGAUCCUGUACGAUUUCCAUAAUCUGGUUCCUCAACGUGGCGUUGGGGUCAUAUGGAAUUCCUACAGGCUAAUUAACCGGUUGAUUUGCAUGAAGCCUGAUGUUUGGUCCUUGAUUGGCAACAAAAUUAUCAUAAUUAGGGUCAUUACCAUUAGCCUGAACACCUGUUCCUUCAUUAACACGUGGGGUCUGCUGUCCAUUGUUUAGGACAUUAUCUCUUAUGUUUGGAUUACCCCCCAAGUUAGGCAUACUACUAUCAUUGUUCUGAUUUGGCAUUGUAGUACCUCCUUGGUUUGAAGUAGAGGGAUUAGAAAGCGGUUCGACCCCUUGACUCGGAUUUAGGAUCGAGGGACUAUGUCCCACAAUUGUCCUAGUUUGAAAGUGGUUUGUAAGAGGUAUAGCCGGUUGACAUAUUUGGCCUACUAACUUAUUCAUUGUCUCGUUCAAUGUCUUUAGUUGUUUGGCCAUGUUAUCAUAGUGCAUAUUCCCAUUUUGAGUAAAUCUUUCCAUAUUAUGAAUACUUCGAAGAUUUACCUGUUCAACGACGUCUUGCGUGAGUUCUCCAAGUAAUGCUCGCAUGGUUCGAAGACUCAACUCCGUCAUUAGUUCAUAACGACUGUUACUGCUCUGGUUCUGUCCAUCUGUUCGUGGAGAGGCAUGCUGCUCCUCAUAUCGCUCGAUCACAGACUGGAUUCCUCCCUGACUUGCUACUUCCUUAUUGGAUCUCUGAGGCAUAUUGUUUUCCCUUUUGUACUUUCAACACCUAACACCACUAUCCCACUGGGCGUGCCAAAUUGUUUCGCGCGAGUUAGUAGCUAACAAUUAAAAAGGAUCAGACGAUUGUGUAAGGGACGAAACCUCUUGAGACAAAGUCCCAAAAAGGGGUGUUCUUUUAUUGGUGAUGAACUUUACAAUUGGAAAAGAAAGACAACGUGCCUCCAAGGGGCGCAAGCACACGAGUUACUGAAAGAAAAGUGCUUAAGUCUAAAAACUAAGGAAAUGAAAAUUACAUAUUCUCUGUUCGAGAGUUUUGGAUUCGGUCCUUUGCUUCUAUGUCCUUUCUCCCUUUUAUACUUUAUAGACGAUCUCUUUGUGAUCAACUACUUUAAAAACUGCUUGAUCGUCCUAUAACUGCCCACUUUCUUCGUAAUGGCCACCUUGUUAUGAAAACUGCCUUUUAACUGCUGUCAUUACCCUUCAUCGUUCAACCGCUUUCGAUUGAAUUCCUUGAAUUGUGGAACGUGAUAGAGCUGGUUUAAUAACUGCUUUGAUAACUGCACUUCUUGAUAACCACGACGCGUUAUGUUUGUUAAUACCUUGGGCGACUUGAAAGUUUGGGCGAGAAUAGAGUAACAGUUCUGGACAACCGUAUGACACUCUAUUCGUUCAGAUUCUGGGCGACUUGCAAACUUGGGCGAUGGCGUUACCGCAUUCUUGGGCCUCCUUAUUUGGGCCUUCAUCUUGAUUUGUUCGAUUGGGCUUCGUUCUUUGGGCUAUCUGAUUUGGGGAUCCUCCAAUUGGGCUUCACUCAUUGGGCUGUUCGAUUUGGGCUGAAUUUUUAUGUGUCAACAAUACUAUACAUCAUUGCAAUGCUAAUCUUUAAAGUUGAAAUCCCCAGAUUUCAUUUUUUGUUUUUACACCAAAAAUUGUGCAACAUAGAACUGGAGAUUAAGAAUUCGAAGAAUAAUGUUUUGUAAAAAUGUAUUUUUGCAUAUUAGAGAACUUAAAUCAUUUUAAGGUAUAUUACAGAAUAAUGGGCAGAUUUGUGUUUUUUUAGUAGUUUGGACAGAUUAGCAUCUUAGCAUUUUGAUAUACUGUUGUUAAGUUUUAUUAGUAAAUUGAAUUGCUCCUUCUAAUUUCGAAUGUUAAUUUGUUGAUGUCCACUCCCCAACAUUCAUUAUAUUUGUGUUACUUAUAGUAACCAGGGGCGGAUCUAGAUUCAAUCUUCAGUUAGGGCGGUGAUUGACUUUGACCGUUGACGAUCAACGAUUGUAAUAGCUCGAUCGUUUAUUCAAAUUCGAUUAAAUACAAUAAAAAAUUGUUCAAUAUUUUGUAAAAUACUCCAAUUUUAUUUUCAAUUAGAAUUGAUCAAAAAUCACAAUUCUCUGUAAUAACUCCUAAUUUGGUUUUCUAUAUGAAUUGAAGAUUGAUUCACUAACUAAUUAAUAAAUAAUACGUAUAAUUAAAACACAAAAUACAUCAUUGCAUAUUUGCAUCAAAGUACAAACAAUACUCAAAGCAAUUAUCAACAGACACUCAACAAUCAACACACUUCACUCAACAAAUCAAUAGACAACAAUUCAACAGUCAACAAAGGGUUUGCAACAAAAAGAAUUCAACAUUCAACCAAAAAAAUUCAAGUAUUCAACUCACCCACGCUGCUUGUUCGGCCUCGAUUGUCCCUGACUUCGCACAAUCGCACCAGUUUGCACACGGUCCACCAUCCACAACUGCUCGCACAGUCGCACUCGUACUUCCCACCCAUUUCAUUCGCAGGCGCCGCAGCUACUGCUUC